rnacentral:misc_RNA from 1 species
UUGCCGUACUCACGGGAUGUGUUGUUUGUUGCAGAAAUGUACCGGCUGUUUGGGGACGGGCUGGGGGCGCCGCCCAUAGCGGGAGGGCGUGCCAGGUUCGAGUGUCCUGUGUGCGCCAAGGUGCUGAGUACCAGUCAUGGACUCAGAAGGCACAUAAAUGACCGUCACACAGUGCACCUCACCUCUUACCGCUGCUACGUCUGCAACAAAGAAUACCGCACGCCCAAUAGUCUACAAAAUCAUAUGUAUGUGUACCACAAAAGAGAAGGGAAGAGCUGAGGAGAACGACGGUCGCUUAGAGUGUCCACAUUGCCACAAAAUGUUGAAGGGUACAAGUCUGCGCAAACACCUCGAGGACAUGCACACUGUCCACCUCACACCUUACGAGUGCAAGAUCUGUCACAGGUUCUACCGCACUCCCAACAGCCUGCAGAACCACAGUAGCCGCUACCAUCGUCGCCAGCGGACCGACUCCUCCGGACCCUCGGAGUAUGAAGCUUCCAGCGCCCCGCCCUUCUCCACCGCCUCCAUGACUCCCGUCGCGGUGCCGCAGCAGUUGUCGUCGUUGCUGGCGGCCGCCGCAGCCGCCCGCGCCACCACGCACUUGAGCCCCCGCACCCCAGGACUGAGCAACGGGGCGCCACCGCCGCCUCCAGAGCACCAUCUGCCGGGGGACAAAGCCACAUCGUUCAGUGACAUCUUCAACUGAGACGGAGCGCGUGACACGGCUCAAGAAAACCUUCUCGUUACCUUAAGACAUGAAUGGAGGCCCAGCAUUCUGUACACGCCAGUAGAGUGUCCGAUAUGUAAACGCCGGUUCUUCAAUAAGUACUCGGCCAAAAGACACAUGAUUCAGGCGCACGGGGAGAACCGCUUUCACACCCGCCCGUACGCCCGCGCGGACCCCAACUCUACCUCUACCUUCAGUGCUGC